CAUCAGAAUUCAUGGAGGCUAG
rnacentral:miRNA from 1 species